UCAUUAUAGGGUAGUAUCAAGAGACUUUCCGCCCCUCUUGUGUCACCUUUCGAUCCACAUCCCUUGAUCGUUUGUUGCUUUCGGGCUCAUUCGGUGCAAGGCUUAUCCCUUACCAAUUUCAGAGUGUAUUCCUUGGGAGGUUUUUUAUCAUUUGGUAUCAGAGCCACUCUGAAAGCGGUAUUCACUUCUCUUAUCCACCAUUCUCAUCUAUC
rnacentral:lncRNA from 1 species